rnacentral:sRNA from 1 species
UUUUUUUUUGAUUUUUUUUUUUUGAGAUUGUAAGACUAGAAACAGCUU